ACGGAAGCAUCAGUGGGGAAUAUUGCACAAUGGGCGAAAGCCUGAUGCAGCGACGCCGCGUGAGUGAUGAAGUAUUUCGGUAUGUAAAGCUCUAUCAGCAGGGAAGAAAAAUGACGGUACCUGACUAAGAAGCACCGGCUAAAUACGUGCCAGCAGCCGCGGUAAUACGUAUGGUGCAAGCGUUAUCCGGAUUUACUGGGUGUAAAGGGAGCGCAGGCGGUACGGCAAGUCUGAUGUGAAAGCCCGGGGCUCAACCCCGGUACUGCAUUGGAAACUGUCGAACUAGAGUGUCGGAGGGGUAAGCGGAAUUCCUAGUGUAGCGGUGAAAUGCGUAGAUAUUAGGAGGAACACCAGUGGCGAAGGCGGCUUACUGGACGAUAACUGACGCUGAGGCUCGAAAGCGUGGGGAGCAAACAGGAUUAGAUACCCUGGUA
rnacentral:rRNA from 1 species